UUAUGGCCAUAGCACGUUGAAACAUCGGUUCCGGUACGACCACAGAAGUUAAGCAACGUCGAGCCUCGUCAGUACCUAGAUGGAUAACUACUUGGGAAUACCAGGUGAUGCAAU